rnacentral:rRNA from 1 species
GACGAACGCUGGCGGCGUGCUUAACACAUGCAAGUCGAACGGAAAGGCCCUGCUUUUGUGGGGUGCUCGAGUGGCGAACGGGUGAGUAACACGUGAGUAACCUGCCCUUGACUUUGGGAUAACUUCAGGAAACUGGGGCUAAUACCGGAUAGGAGCUCCUGCUGCAUGGUGGGGGUUGGAAAGUUUCGGCGGUUGGGGAUGGACUCGCGGCUUAUCAGCUUGUUGGUGGGGUAGUGGCUUACCAAGGCUUUGACGGGUAGCCGGCCUGAGAGGGUGACCGGCCACAUUGGGACUGAGAUACGGCCCAGACUCCUACGGGAGGCAGCAGUGGGGAAUAUUGCACAAUGGGCGGAAGCCUGAUGCAGCAACGCCGCGUGCGGGAUGACGGCCUUCGGGUUGAAAACCGCUUCCGCCUGUGACGAAGCGUGAGUGACGGUAAUGGGUAAAGAAGCACCGGCUAACUACGUG